UGGCCCCACUCUGGUCUCUGGUGUCUCUAUAAACAGAGUAGCGUCGGCGCGCUAGAACGUACAUCAGAGACAGACAUCUCACGAUUGUCACCAUGAAGACCUUCACUGUCGCCUUCUUAUUCGCUCUCCUUACCGUUGCCAGCAUUGCGUCUUGUUCCCCAGCGCCAGCGGAAGAGGAGGUCCACAGCAGCCGCCACGUGCGCUUCACGUGUGGGAAUACGGCGUGCGCCGUCCACUGUAUCGCGAUGAACAGGAGCUACAAGGGCGGCCACUGCAGGGACAACGUCUGCCGCUGCCAUAAGUAAUUGGCCGUAGAUGGGGAACCACCACAGUUCGCCAAUGUCUGUGCUUCAUCAAUAAAAACUGCAGUGGAGGUGUGCUGUAA